CUACGGGGCGCAGCAGUGGGGAAUAUUGCACAAUGGGCGAAAGCCUGAUGCAGCGAUGCCGCGUGAGGGAAGAAGGUCUUCGGAUUGUAAACCUCUGUCAUAAGGGACGAUAAUGACGGUACCUUAGAAGGAAGCUCCGGCUAACUACGUGCCAGCAGCCGCGGUAAUACGUAGGGGGCAAGCGGUGUCCGGAAUUACUGGGUGCAAAGGGAGUGUAGGCGGGAUUGCAAGUCAGAUGUGAAAACUAUCGGCUCAACUGAUAGAUUGCAUUUGAAACUGCAGUUCUUGAGUGAAGUAGAGGGAAGCGGAAUUCCUAGUGUAGCGGUGAAAUGCGUAGAUAUUAGGAGGAACAUCAGUGGCGAAGGCGGCUUACUGGGCUUUAACUGACGCUGAGGCUCGAAAGCGUGGGGAGCAAACAGGAUUAGAUACCCUUGUAGUC
rnacentral:rRNA from 1 species